rnacentral:lncRNA from 10 species
CUGAAUUCUAUCUACGGUGGCAAGAUGGCAGCUGUGAGUUAAUUACAGGAUCUGUGGGGUUUUGGUAGUCAUAAAUCGGUGGUGAAGCAAAAACCAAAAACAAGAAGUAUAGAGAAAAGAAAUAGUACUUCAUGCCCUCAAAGGGUUCAAUUUCUAUUCAAAUGAUAAAAUUAGUUAAGAUGCUGCCAUUUCAGGGUCAGACUUUGGCUCUGUUGAGGAUGUUAAUUGCAUUAUUGCAAACAAAUAGCUUCAAAGCAAAUAACCAAAUAUUGACUAAAGUAAAGUUGGUCCAAAAAUUCGGUUUAUUUGGUGGUACAAAAGAAUAAACGUGCACAUUGGCUUUGACCCUCCCACUUUUUUUUUUUUUUUUUUUUUUUUUGAGACGGAGUCUCGCUCUGUCGCCCAGGAUGGAGUGCAGUGGCUUGAUCUGGGCUCACUGCAACCUCCGCCUCCCGGGUUCACGCCAUUCUCCUGCCUCAGCCUCCCAAGUAGCUGGGACUACAGGCACCCAACACCAUGCUGGGCUAAUUUUUUUUGUAUUUCUAGUAGAGACGGGGUUUCAACGUGUUAGCCAGGAUGGUCUCGAUCUCCUGACCUCGUUAUCCACCCACCUCGGCCUCCCAAAGCGCUGGGAUUACAGGCAUGACCCACCACACCUGGCCUGACCUUCCCACUUCUUUUAUCAAUCCUCUUCAAUAACCCAACUUCCAUGUAAUUGUGUUGGGCCAACUUUCUUCUAAAGGACAAAAUUAAAUAAUCAAUACAUGUACUGCUAAAGCAAUUCCAGGCUUAAAAUGUUUUAGUUUUAUCUUCAAAGGGGGCACUACUUUUAGUU